rnacentral:tRNA from 4 species
GGAGGAUUAGCUCAGCUGGGAGAGCACCUGCCUUACAAGCAGGGGGGCGGCGGUUCGAUCCCGUCAUCCUCCACCA